rnacentral:lncRNA from 1 species
CCAACAAAUGCUCCACAAACAAAGUCUCCACCACCAAUACAACAGGUCAAUGUAACAAAUGUUGCCACAACUCCCACCCCAACAACAAGCAAAAGAUCCACCACAACAACUCAGAGUUCUACAAAAAUUGUCACCACUCUUCGUCCUUUUAAAACUACAUCUUUUCACACAACAAGACGAGUGACAGAAAUGAGUGCGAAAAGAACCACUCCUUCAGGUGCUGCCACCUCUUUCAGUGGAAUUGUUGGUGGUCUCAUAGUAAUGGCUGUUCUAAUAGUACUUCCAGUUUUCGUCAAACUUCUUUAUAACUAUGGGAAAUCAGGCUCUUACAAUAUUCAUGAGAUCAGCAAAGAACUUUAUGUUGUCUUAUCUGAUAAAAUGGAGACUGGCAAGCCCACAGAAGAAAUACAUAUAUAAUCUUGGCCAUGCUGAUUACAAAGCUAUUAACGACUGGCUAACUAACAAAGCCAAAAAGAAGAGUUAAGGAAGAAAAUUCUUUUGCACAGACUCUAUCUAGUUUCACUAGGGCUCUCAUGAGAAGUGGAUAACAUUUUCACCGUAACCACUCUCCUUUCUGCAAAUGGAAUUUUCUUAUUGGCCUUGGCAUUUGAAUGAAGUUAAGAAUGAUGUCAGCCUCAGAAUCUUCCUCUGAAGCCAGCUAAACCUCCUGAAAACACUAGCAAUUUACAGGCUCUUAGACUAUUUCCAUUUUUUUUCUAAGUGUGCAGCAGAGGACUGAAUCUUAUCAUAGAACAGAAAAGAAAGAAAAAAAAAACCACUUAACCAAAAUCCAUUCAAUAUCAAUUGGCUUUCACUAGUCAGUUGAUACUAUUUUAAUUCUCUUUAAGUCCCAAACACUUGCUCCUUCACUCUAGCUGCAUGCCAUUUCCUCAAGCUCCCCUUUUUGUCUUUAUAACGUUUAUCAAAAGAAGAAAUCUUCCAUUUAAAAAGGACUAUAAUUAGGCAUUAAGAGUAAUUUUUUUUAAAAAUCAGGAUGACAUUUUUUCAAAUCUUGCUCCAAGCUGCCAGAAAUAGAGGAACUGAAUUGUCAAAUCUUCCUUUCUAUCAAUCACCUUUGAAAGAAGAAAUCCCUGAUGAAGAAAAAUGAGCUGUCCUUGGGACCUGAUAAUGAUGUUAACAUAAAAAACAAUGGGAAGGUGUGAUGACCCAUGACUUCUUGAUGUUUUGAGCUCCAUCAGGAUUUUAGAAACAGGGAAUUGCAUAGUUCCCUUUUUUCCUUUUUGGUAGACUACAUCAGUAGGCACUUUUGUCCAUAAUAUAUCUGGGGUGCGGGGUGGGGAAGAGGGCGGGGAGACUAUGAAAAGGACUAUUCUGAUGUUAGUGCCUAAGUUAAACCAGUUUUAUUUUUACAUCCAGAGACUGUAUAAAGGUGAAUUUUCUAAAGAAAGAAAAAGGUUCUGUACUUUUGAAAUAAUGAAUUCAUAGCCAAAUUGUAUAUUUUGUUGUCUUGUAAUUUAAAAUUAAUUUAUUUAUUUACUUCAGUGAGUGUAAGUUUUACAUAUGUACUGUGAAAAUUCACAUGUUCAGGAUUUAUAAAGAGAAUCUUAUUUUCCUGAAAUAAAAAUAAGCAAACAAAUUCUAUGGUGAUCUUG